GGGGUUGGGGAUUUAGCUCAGUGGUAGAGCGCUUGCCUAGGAAGCGCAAGGCCCUGGGUUCGGUCCCCAGCUCCGGAAAAAAAAGUUUU
rnacentral:scRNA from 1 species